rnacentral:rRNA from 1 species
UACGAAGGGGGCUAGCGUUGCUCGGAAUUACUGGGCGUAAAGCGCACGUAGGCGGCUUUGUAAGUUAGAGGUGAAAGCCCAGGGCUUAACCUCGGAGUGACUUUACGAUACUGCAUCGCUAGAAUCGUGGAGAGGUGAGUGGAAUUCCGAGUGUAGAGGUGAAAUUCGUAGAUAUUCGGAAGAACACCAGUGGCGAAGGCGACUCACUGGACACGUAUUGACGCUGAGGUGCGAAAGCGUGGGGAGCAAACAGGG